UCGAACGGUAGUAUGGUGCUUGCACUAUAUGAGAGUGGCGGACGGGUGAGUAACACGUAGAUAAUCUACCCUUGUGUUGGGGAUAGCUUAUGGAAACAUGGGUAAUACCGAAUACGGUCUUAGAAUCGAUAGGGUUUUAAGAAGAAAGGUGCUACGGCAUCGCACGAGGAGGAGUCUGCGGUAGAUUAGCUAGUUGGUAAGGUAAAGGCUUACCAAGGCGACGAUCUAUAGCCGGCCUGAGAGGGUGAACGGCCACACUGGGACUGAGAACGGCCCAGACUCCUACGGAGGCAGCAGCUAGAAUCUUCCGCAUGGACGAAAGUCUGAC
rnacentral:rRNA from 1 species